AUUGACCUCGGAUCAAGGAGGAAUACCCGCUGAACUUAA
rnacentral:rRNA from 1 species